rnacentral:rRNA from 1 species
CGGACGGGUGAGUAACACGUGGGAACGUGCCCUUUGGUUCGGAACAACUCAGGGAAACUUGAGCUAAUACCGGAUGUGCCCUUCGGGGGAAAGAUUUAUCGCCAUUGGAGCGGCCCGCGUCUGAUUAGCUAGUUGGUGAGGUAAAGGCUCACCAAGGCGACGAUCAGUAGCUGGUCUGAGAGGAUGAUCAGCCACAUUGGGACUGAGACACGGCCCAAACUCCUACGGGAGGCAGCAGUGGGGAAUCUUGCGCAAUGGGCGAAAGCCUGACGCAGCCAUGCCGCGUGAAUGAUGAAGGUCUUAGGAUUGUAAAAUUCUUUCACCGGGGACGAUAAUGACGGUACCCGGAGAAGAAGCCCCGGCUAACUUCGUGCCAGCAGCCGCGGUAAUACGAAGGGGGCUAGCGUUGCUCGGAAUUACUGGGCGUAAAGGGAGCGUAGGCGGACUGUUAAGUUAGAGGUGAAAGCCCAGGGCUCAACCUUGGAAUUGCCUUUGAUACUGGCAGUCUUGAGUACGGAAGAGGUAUGUGGAACUCCGAGUGUAGAGGUGAAAUUCGUAGAUAUUCGGAAGAACACCAGUGGCGAAGGCGGCAUACUGGUCCGUUACUGACGCUGAGGCUCGAAAGCGUGGGGAGCAAACA